UACGUAGGGUGCAAGCGUUAAUCGGAAUUACUGGGCGUAAAGCGUGCGCAGGCGGUUUUGUAAGUCUGUCGUGAAAGCCCCGGGCUCAACCUGGGAAUUGCGAUGGAGACUGCAAGGCUUGAAUCUGGCAGAGGGGGGUAGAAUUCCACGUGUAGCAGUGAAAUGCGUAGAGAUGUGAAGGAACACCGAUGGCGAAGGCAGCCCCCUGGGUCAAGAUUGACGCUCAUGCACGAAAGCGUGGGGAGCAAACAGG
rnacentral:rRNA from 1 species